GAUGAACGCUGGCGGCAUGCCUUACACAUGCAAGUCGAACGGCAGCACGGGGCAACCUGGUGGCGAGUGGCGAACGGGUGAGUAAUGCAUCGGAACGUACCUUUCAGUGGGGGAUAACGUAGCGAAAGUUACGCUAAUACCGCAUAUUCUGUGAGCAGGAAAGCAGGGGAUCGCAAGACCUUGCGCUGAUUGAGCGGCCGAUGUCAGAUUAGCUAGUUGGUGAGGUAAAGGCUCACCAAGGCGACGAUCUGUAGCGGGUCUGAGAGGAUGAUCCGCCACACUGGAACUGAGACACGGUCCAGACUCCUACGGGAGGCAGCAGUGGGGAAUUUUGGACAAUGGGGGCAACCCUGAUCCAGCCAUGCCGCGUGAGUGAAGAAGGCCUUCGGGUUGUAAAGCUCUUUCGGCCGGGAAGAAAUCGCACGGGCUAAUACCCUGUGUGGAUGACGGUACCGGAAUAAGAAGCACCGGCUAACUACGUGCCAGCAGCCGCCGUAA
rnacentral:rRNA from 1 species